rnacentral:tRNA from 1 species
GGGGGCGUAGCUCAAAUGGUAGAGCACUCACUUUGCAAGCAAGCUGUACGGGGUUUGAUACCCUGCAUCUCCA